CGGGUGAGUAAUACGUGAGUAACCUGCCCUUGACUCUGGGAUAAGCCCGGGAAACUGGGUCUAAUACUGGAUGCUACAUGUCACCGCAUGGUGGUGUGUGGAAAGGGUUUACUGGUCUUGGAUGGGCUCACGGCCUAUCAGCUUGUUGGUGAGGUAAUGGCUCACCAAGGCGACGACGGGUAGCCGGCCUGAGAGGGUGACCGGCCACACUGGGACUGAGACACGGCCCAGACUCCUACGGGAGGCAGCAGUGGGGAAUAUUGCACAAUGGGCGAAAGCCUGAUGCAGCGACGCCGCGUGAGGGAUGACGGCCUUCGGGUUGUAAACCUCUUUCAGCAGGGAAGAAGCCACAAGUGACGGUACCUGCAGAAGAAGCGCCGGCUAACUACGUGCCAGCAGCCGCGGUAAUACGUAGGGCGCAAGCGUUGUCCGGAAUUAUUGGGCGUAAAGAGCUCGUAGGCGGUUUGUCGCGUCUGCUGUGAAAGCCCGGGGCUUAACCCCGGGUGUGCAGUGGGUACGGGCAGACUAGAGUGCAGUAGGGGAGACUGGAAUUCCUGGUGUAGCGGUGGAAUGCGCAGAUAUCAGGAGGAACACCGAUGGCGAAGGCAGGUCUCUGGGCUGUUACUGACGCUGAGGAGCGAAAGCAUGGGGAGCGAACAGGAUUAGAUACCCUGGUAGUCCAUGCCGUAAACGUUGGGCACUAGGUGUGGGGGACAUUCCACGUUUUCCGCGCCGUAGCUAACGCAUUAAGUGCCCCGCCUGGGGAGUACGGCCGCAAGGCUAAAACUCAAAGGAAUUGACGGGGGCCCGCACAAGCGGC
rnacentral:rRNA from 1 species